GACGGAGGAUGCAAGUGUUAUCCGGAAUCACUGGGCGUAAAGCGUCUGUAGGUGGUUUAAAAAGUCUACUGUUAAAAAUUGAAGCUUAACUUCAAAGAUGCCGUAGAAACUUUUAAACUUGAGGAUGGUAGGGGUAGAGGGAAUUUCCAGUGGAGCGGUGAAAUGCGUAGAUAUUGGAAAGACCACCAAUGGCGAAGGCACUCUACUGGGCCAUUACUGACACUGAGAGACGAAAGCUAGGGGAGCGAAUGGG
rnacentral:rRNA from 1 species